UGUUCCCCAAUUAAAUUUUUUGCAGAUAAACAUGUUCUGUACAAAAAGAUAAGGGUAAAAAACAGAUAUAAUCCUUGGUUUACGCAUGAAUUGUUUUGAAAUAAAUGUAGCGUGGGUUAAGACGGACUGAUUCUACGUCUGAUUGGCAGUCUUUCAGACAAUGAGAAAUAGAUUUCUAUCCCUAGUUAGAAAAGCAAAAUCAACAUAUUCCUUGAAAUGUGUAUCUGAGAGUGGUGGUAAUCCAGCUAACUUCUGCAAAGUGGUCAAAUAUUUUAAACAAAACUGCACCCCCUCGUUACUGCUUUUAAUAACCAUUUGGCUUCAGCUGGCCAAAAAUGUGUGUUGCUUUUAAUAACCAAAUCCAAUAUCCAAACAAUUGUUCUGUAUUCAAGUGAAUCACCCUUACCUUGAUUAAUUUGUCUGUGUUGUUAUCCUCCGACAUGAUGUUCUACUACGGUCAAAAUUUGUGGUGCUUUUAAUUACCAUUUUGCUUCAGCUGGCCAGAAAUGUGUGGUGAUUUACGAUCAAAACCGCAAUAUAUCAUGGGUAUAUUGUGACUGACUGAUCUACAAAUAAAAAUGAUUUAUUAUUUAUGAUGCAAGGUGAUUUGUAUGAUGCAAGGUGAUUUGUAGUCGGCAGUCAUCUGCAUCUGCAGUGAACACGGCCACUCUUUUAACCUGCAAUGUUAAUUCUCCUAACCUGCUGCGUAAGUUCUCCUAACCGCCCACAGAAAAGUAAUUUCUGUAUUGACGUAAUUUCUGCAUGAAAAGGGUUUCCCCGUCUACCAUAGUGCCCUGCGAAUAGCUGCGCAAAACUAUAGGUGGUGCUCUUGAAAUUUCCGCUGAUUUGGUCCCGACAGCGGAACCAAAUCCCUAACAAGUUUUAAGGAAACAAAAAAGUAAAAGUAACAUGUCCUGCUUUCAAGAUAAGUUGAUAUUUCACAUAUAUUUCCCUAAUUACACAUGUCCCGAUAUUUCAGGAAAACGUUGGACAUUUCACCUAGAUAUCCCUAAUAUGAUGACAGUAGUGUACCACAUAGAAGCUUAUCAGGCUUACCCUUUUCCAGAGUAGUUUUCUCACUUCAAGUUGUAUAAUAUAUAUAUCUCUGUUUCUAUAUUUAUUUAACCCCUAUAUAUAUUAGGUUCCGGCCAUGGCGCCGGGCUGAACGCCGUGCCUGGACUGGCGCAGAGGCCUCCGGCCCUGGAGCUGAGUUGGACGCUGUACCUGGACUAGGCACCGGCGCAGAAGAAGGCUCCGGACAUGGAGCUUGACUGGACAUCGUGCCUGGACCGGCCACCGGCACAGAGUAAGGCUCCUGCCCUGAAGCGGGACUGGACACCGUCCCUGUACUGGGCAUCGGUGCAGAGGAAGGCUUCGACCUUGGAGCGGGACUGGACGCCGUGUCUAGCCUGGGCAUCGGUGCAGAGGAAGGCCAUGGAGCAGGACUGGACACCUUGCCUGGAAGCUCCGGACCCUCCACAGCCCGGAACCUCGCUGGAGGCUGUGGACCGUCGCGGGAGGUUCUGGAUUGUGGACCGUCGCGGGAGGUUCCGGACCGUAGACCGUCGUGGGAGGUUCCGGACCGUGGACCGUCGCGGGAGGUUCCGGACCGUGGACCGUCGCGGGAGGUUCCGGACCGUGGACCGUCGCGGGAGGUUCCGGACCGUGGACCGUCGCGGGAGGUUCGGGACCGGGGACCGUCGCGGGAGGUUCCGGACCGGGGACCGUCGCGGGAGGUUCCGGACCGGGGACCGUCGCGGGAGGUUCCGGACCGGGGACCAUCGCGGGAGGUUCCGGACCGGGGACCGUUGCGGGAAUCUCCAGACCGGGAACCGUCGCCGGAAGCUCUGGACUGUGACCGGACUGAUGACCCGCUCUUCCACUAUCCGCUGCUCCGCCGACUACUCCUCGUGGUGUCUCCUUCCAAGGAAGGGUCUCACAACCUCCCAUCAUUUCUUCCCAGGCAAUCGAUUCCACCCAACAAGCAAGAUUAAAUCACUCCCCAGUGAUAACAAUGUCCAACCCCAGGCUCCCAAGCAGGACAAGAGGGCCUCUGUUCCACCCCCCAAAAUGAGAAAAGUCAGACUCCUCAACGGACAUAGAUAACCUAACCCCCUUGCAUCCAAAAGAGGGGUGCGUCACUUGAGUGGCUUGAGUCGCUGGCGUGGUCUUCCUGUCUGGGUUGGCCCUCCCAAUUGGGUUGUGCCGUGGCGGAGAUCUUUGUGGGCUAUACUCGGCCUUCUCUCAGGAUGAGGACCUGAGCCCUGGGACUAUGCCUCAGGACUACCUGGCAUGAUGACUCCUUGCUAUUCCCAGUCUGCUGGCCGUGCUGCUGCUCCAGUUUCAACUGUUCUGCUGCGGCUAUGGAACCCUGACCUGUUCACCGGACGUGCUACCUGUCCCAGACCUGCUGUUUUCAACUCUCUAGAGACAGCAGGAGCAGUAGAGAUACUCUCAAUGAUUGGCUAUGAAAAGCCAACUGACAUUUACUCCUGAGGUGCUGACUUGCUGCACCCUUGACAACUACUGUGAUUAUUAUUAUUUGACCAUGCUGGUCAUUUAUGAACAUUUGAACAUCUUGGCCAUGUUCUGUUAUAAUCUCCACCCGGCACUGCCAGAAGAGGACUGGCCACAUAGCCUGGUUCCUCUCUCGAUUUCUUCCUACGUUUUGGCCUUUCUAGGCAGUUUUUCCUAGCCACCGUGCUUCUACACCUGCAUUGCUUGCUGUUUGGGGUUUUAGGCUGGGUUUCUGUACAGCAUUUUGAUAUAUCAGCUGAUGUAAGAAGGGCUAUAUAAAUACAUUUGAUUUGAUAGGACUUCCAAAAGUACAAUGGGGAGAGUGUCUGACUGGUAGUGUAAAGUCCCUAAAUGAAAAAGGAGAUGUUGUGUUGACAGGAUUAAAACGCACAAUAACUCCCCCUGUUUGUAUCUGCAACUCAGGGAAUGUGGAUGUAGGAAACACCACUAAAUUGCCUGUCUUACACAGACCUAAAAACAGAUACCAGUAGUUUUGAUGUACUGGAUGGGUAACAAUUGAUAACUUGGGUAAAUAUGUCAAACAUAGGCAAAGGCAUGGAGACACCUCAGAAUCUCUGGAUCUGUUGGGGUAAAUGGCUACAUUUUCCUCCCCAUGGGAUGGAAAGGGUGUUAUUAUCUGGGGAAAACGGAACUGACAGUAGCAACAUUACUUGCUGCUGAACAGUUCUUUACAAAUUAGUUUCAGAUUGAAUGGCAGAGACAAAAGAGCAGUGUCUCAAAAAUAAUGAAGCUUAUGGACAUGUGCUGUCUCAGAUAGAGAUGGCAGCCCUAGUAAUCUUUCCAGGUGUAGGAGUUGUAGUAAAUGGUAAGGGGAUUAAGAAUUUGACAUAGGCCCUCACUAAUUUGAUCGUAGAGGUUUUACUCAGUUGUCACUAAAUGUGCAGUAUUUGAAGGCAGUAGUGACUGGAGACAAAAUGGCACAUAUUGGCUAAAGACAGAGGGGCCUACAGGUCUCUUGGAAUAAACAAUGAGGAUUACAUUACUGUGUCAUGUUGCUUCCUGAGUCCUCUGACAACAUGACAGCUAUUAUUAAUGACCUGGCUAAAUUAGGAGGUACUCUGUGAAAAGCUGACAACACCAUUUUUGACCAAAUUGGACACUGGUUUAAUGGUGUAUUUGGAAACUUGAUGGAUAAGGUAAUGAUUUCUCGGGUAAAUGACUUGCAAUUAAAUAGACCGAGAACAGAACUACCGCAAUGUUACUUUUAUACUAUUAAUUAAUGCUCUCGGUUCGAAAUUUAUGAAAAUGAACUCUCCGUCAACAUUGCAAUGUUGCGCAACCACAAUAUUUUGUCUUACAAUAUUAAUCGGACUAAAAGGGAUCACAUAAUAGCUACAUUAACCUUCAUUUUCUCAUAUAAUUUUAUUGGGAAUGUAGUUGGAGAUGAUUUAGACCAAUGACUAAUCAGGUGUGCUCCCGCUCUCCUCGUGUCUUGAUAGAAAAAUGUAUUUAUUCUCUUCACAAACGGCAAACUCAUCACGCUUAGCACAUUUCCAUGAUUUGACAUGAUGUAACUAUCCCCCAGAAUCAUAAAGGUAUAUCUUUUUUGCCACUAACCUGUUGAUAAAAGCUUAUGUGAGAAGGUUAUCCAUCAAGUCAAUUGAUUAAGGCAUAAUUCUCAUGAUGACUUGAGCCCUUUGUAUUGGUGUAGACUUGAUGGACCAGACGGGACUCAUUCCCUCCCAAACCAAAAGGAAAAAUCAAUAUUUUCUCUGGUAGGCACAACCUACCCCUACAAACAAUAACCUCAAGUCAAAACCGAUACCGUACUGCAAGUAUAAACACCAUGGGACCACGCAGCCGUCAUACCGCUCAGGAAGGAGACGUACUCUGUCUCCUAGAGAUGAACGUACUUGCAAAAAUAACCUGAAAGGCAGCUCAGCAAGGAAGAAGCCACUGCUCCAAAACCACCAUAAAAAAGCCAGACUACGAUUUGCAACUGCACAUGGGGACAAAGAUUGUACUUUUCUGGUCUGAUGAAACAAAAAUAGAACUGUUUGGCCAUAAUGACCAUCGUUAUGUUUGUAGAAAAAAGGUGAGGCUUGCAAGCCAAAGAACACCAUCCCAACCGUGAAGCACGGCAGCAUCAUGUGGGUGUGCUUUGCUGCUUGAGGGACUUGUGCACUUCACAAAAUAGAUGGCUCAUGAGGUAGGAAAAUUAUGUGGAUAUAUUGGAAGCAGCAUCUCAAGACAUCAGGAAGUUAAAGCUUGGUCACAAAUGGGUCAUCCAAAUGGACAAUGAGCCCAAGCAUACUUCCAAAGUUGUGGCAAAAUGGCUCAAGGACAACAAAGUAAAGGUAUUGGAGUGAACAUUACAAAGCCCUGACCUCAAUCCUAUAGAAAAUGUGGGCCGAACUGAAAAAGCUUGUGUGAGCAAGGAGGCAUACAAACCUGACUCAGUUACACCAGCUCUGUCAGGAGGAAUGGGACAAAAUUCACCCAACUUAUUGUGGGAAGCUUGUGGAAGACUAGCCAAAAUGUUUGACCCAAGUUAGAGGCAAUGCUAUCAAAUACUAAUUGAGUGUAUGUAAACUUCUGACACACUGGGAAUGUGGUGGAAAUAAAUAAUUAUCUCUACUAUUAUUCUGACAUUUUCACAUUCUUAAAAUAAAGUGGUGAUCCUAACUGACCUAAGACAGGGAAUUUUCACUAGGAUUAAAUGUCAGGAAUUGUGAAAAACUGAGUUUAAAUGUAUUUGUCUAAGGUGUAUGUAAACUUCCGAC